rnacentral:rRNA from 1 species
ACGCACGCUGGCGGCGUGCUUAAUACAUGCAGGUCGAACGGUGAAGCGCCUUCCUUUUUGGUGGGUGUGGAUGAGUGGCGAACGGGUGAGUAACACGUGAGUAACCUGCCCCCUUCUUCUGGAUAACCGCAUGAAAGUGUGGCUAAUACGGGAUAUUCUGGGUCUGUCGCAUGAUGGGUCUGGGAAAGAUAUUGUUUCGGUGGGGGAUGGGCUCGCGGCCUAUCAGCUUGUUGGUGGGGUGAUGGCCUACCAAGGCGGUGACGGGUAGCCGGCCUGAGAGGGUGGACGGUCACACUGGGACUGAGACACGGCCCAGACUCCUACGGGAGGCAGCAGUGGGGAAUAUUGCACAAUGGGCGCAAGCCUGAUGCAGCGACGCCGCGUGAGGGAUGGAGGCCUUCGGGUUGUGAACCUCUUUCGCCAGUGAAGCAGGCCUGCCUCGUUUGUGGGUGGGUUGACGGUAGCUGGAUAAGAAGCGCCGGCUAACUACGUG